GUGCAGCAGGCGAGAAACCUCCGCAAUGCGGGCAACCGCGACGGGGGACCCCAGUGCCGUGGCAUCGCCACGGCUUUUCCGGAGUGUAAAAGCUCCGGGAAUAAGGGCUGGGCAAGGCCGGUGGCAGCCGCCGCGGUAAUACCGGCGGCCCGGGUGGUGGCCGCUAUUAUUGGGCCUAAAGCGUCCGUAGCCGGGCCUGUAAGUCCCUGGCGAAAUCCCACGGCUCAACCGUGGGGCUUGCUGGGGAUACUGCAGGCCUUGGGACCGGGAGAGGCCGGGGGUACCCCUGGGGUAGGGGUGAAAUCCUAUAAUCCCAGGGGGACCGCCAGUGGCGAAGGCGCCCGGCUGGAACGGGUCCGACGGUGAGGGACGAAGGCCAGGGGAGCGAACCGGAUUAGAUACCCCUGUAGU
rnacentral:rRNA from 1 species